AUUGAACGCUGGCGGAAUGCUUUACACAUGCAAGUCGAACGGCAGCACGGACUUCGGUCUGGUGGCGAGUGGCGAACGGGUGAGUAAUGUAUCGGAACGUGCCCAGUCGUGGGGGAUAACGUAGCGAAAAUUACGCUAAUACCGCAUACGAUCUAUGGAUGAAAGCGGGGGAUCGCAAGACCUCGCGCGAUUGGAGCGGCCGAUAUCAGAUUAGGUAGUUGGUGGGGUAAAGGCCCACCAAGCCAACGAUCUGUAGCUGGUCUGAGAGGACGACCUGCCACACUGGAACUGAGACACGGUCCAGACUCCUACGGGAGGCAGCAGUGGGGAAUUUUGGACAAUGGGCGCAAGCCUGAUCCAGCCAUUCCGCGUGCAGGAUGAAGGCCCUCGGGUUGUAAACUGCUUUUGUACAGAACGAAAAGGUUUCUACUAAUACUAGGAGCUCAUGACGGUACUGUAAGAAUAAGCACCGGCUAACUACGUGCCAGCAGCCGCGGUAA
rnacentral:rRNA from 1 species